rnacentral:rRNA from 1 species
GACGAACGCUGGCGGCGUGCCUAAUACAUGCAAGUAGAACGCUGAAGAGAGGAGCUUGCUCUUCUUGGAUGAGUUGCGAACGGGUGAGUAACGCGUAGGUAACCUGCCUUGUAGCGGGGGAUAACUAUUGGAAACGAUAGCUAAUACCGCAUAACAAUGGAUGACACAUGUCAUUUAUUUGAAAGGGGCAAUUGCUCCACUACAAGAUGGACCUGCGUUGUAUUAGCUAGUAGGUGAGGUAAUGGCUCACCUAGGCGACGAUACAUAGCCGACCUGAGAGGGGGAUCGGCCAAACUGGGACGGAGACACGGCCCAGACUCCUACGGGAGGCAGCAGUAGGGAAUCUUCGGCAAUGGGGGCAACCCUGACCGAGCAACGCCGCGUGAGUGAAGAAGGUUUUCGGAUCGUAAAGCUCUGUUGUAAGUCAAGAACGGGUGUGAGAGUGGAAAGUUCACACUGUGACGGUAGCUGACCAGAAAGGGACGGCUAACUACGUG